GUCGAGCGGUAGAGAGGUGCUUGCACCUCUUGAGAGCGGCGGACGGGUGAGUAAUGCCUAGGAAUCUGCCUGGUAGUGGGGGAUAACGCUCGGAAACGGACGCUAAUACCGCAUACGUCCUACGGGAGAAAGCAGGGGACCUUCGGGCCUUGCGCUAUCAGAUGAGCCUAGGUCGGAUUAGCUAGUUGGUGGGGUAAUGGCUCACCAAGGCGACGAUCCGUAACUGGUCUGAGAGGAUGAUCAGUCACACUGGAACUGAGACACGGUCCAGACUCCUACGGGAGGCAGCAGUGGGGAAUAUUGGACAAUGGGCGAAAGCCUGAUCCAGCCAUGCCGCGUGUGUGAAGAAGGUCUUCGGAUUGUAAAGCACUUUAAGUUGGGAGGAAGGGCAUUAACCUAAUACGUUAGUGUUUUGACGUUACCGACAGAAUAAGCACCGGCUAACUCUGUGCCAGCAGCCGCGGUAAUACAGAGGGUGCAAGCGUUAAUCGGAAUUACUGGGCGUAAAGCGCGCGUAGGUGGUUCGUUAAGUUGGAUGUGAAAGCCCCGGGCUCAACCUGGGAACUGCAUUCAAAACUGUCGAGCUAGAGUAUGGUAGAGGGUGGUGGAAUUUCCUGUGUAGCGGUGAAAUGCGUAGAUAUAGGAAGGAACACCAGUGGCGAAGGCGACCACCUGGACUGAUACUGACACUGAGGUGCGAA
rnacentral:rRNA from 1 species